ensembl:lncRNA VIPR1-AS1 VIPR1 antisense RNA 1
AGACUGAUUAGAAAACCAGCUCAAGGUCAUGUUGCUGCUCUCUCAUUCCUGUUGAGGGCUCUCUGGUGGAGCCUCUGUCUCACAGGUCACCUGCAGGCCAACACUCCCAGAAGCAGCUAGCACCAUGGUUGACCUCGUCCAGGUCCAGGGAAGGCCUCCCUCUCCAGGACUCCUUUAGAUUUCCCCAGCAUCCAGACCUCACCUGCCUAAGUGCUGUUGCCCUGGAAGCCACAGUGAGCACGAGCUCCAUCUUGCACCUUUACCAGCCAAUGGGGGUAAAGACAUUAGCUGUAUAGGGGGAAUAGUGGCCAGGAAGAUCUCAGAGGUGGCUUCUGGAAGAGGAAUCUGGGUACUGGCUACCCUGCCUUGUGUCCCAUCAUUGGUCUGUCUUGCCUGUCUUGGAGCACAUUUCUCACCAAGCCCCAUGGCAGAGGACAGAAGAAGACCAGGA